AACCUUUACACUGCACGACAGUGCGAUAGGGGGACACCGAGUGCGAGGGCAUAGAGCCCUCGCUUUUCUGAACCUUAAGGUGGUUCAGGAACAAGGGCUGGGCAAGACCGGUGCCAGCCGCCGCGGUAACACCGGCAGCCCAAGUGAUGGCCGAUUUUAUUGGGCCUAAAGCGUCCGUAGCUGGCCGCGCAAGUUCGUCGGGAAAUCCACGCGCUUAACGUGUGGGCGUCCGGCGAAAACUGUGCGGCUUGGGACCGGAAGAUCUGAGGGGUACGUCUGGGGUAGGAGUGAAAUCCCGUAAUCCUGGACGGACCACCGAUGGCGAAAGCACCUCAGAAGGACGGAUCCGACAGUGAGGGACGAAAGCUAGGGUCUCGAACCGGAUUAGAUACCCGGGUAGUCCUAGCCGUAAACGAUGCUCGCUAGGUGUGGCACAGGCUACGAGCCUGUGCUGUGCCGUAGGGAAGCCGUGAAGCGAGCCGCCUGGGAAGUACGUCUGCAAGGAUGAAACUUAA
rnacentral:rRNA from 1 species